ensembl:lncRNA
AUGGUUAAAAGUCUUCCUUUACUGAAUGUCAAGACUUACAGAGCAAUAAUAACUAAAUAUGUGUCUUUUGUUUGUUUGUUUUUGAGACAGAGUAUCACUUCAUCACCCAGGCUGGAGUGCCGUGGCAUGAUCUCGGCUCACUGCAACCUCUGUCUCCUGAACUCAAGCAGUCCUCCCACCUCAGCCUUCCUUGUAGCUGGUACUACAGUUCUGGAGACUGGGAAGUGCAAGAUCAAGGCACCAGGAGAUUUCACAUCAGGUGAGGCUUGCUCUCUGCUUCCAAUAUGGCACCUCCAGCUGCAUCCCCAUAUGGCAGAAGUCUCAAACACUGUGUCCUCACAUGGCAAAACGAACAGAAGGGCAAAAAGGGCAAAAGGAACUAACAGAUUCCCUCAUGCCCUUUUACAAUGAUGCUAAUUCAAUUCAUAAGGGCAAAGUCCUCACAACCUAAUAACCACCUAAAUGCCCCACCUCUUAAUACUAUUGCAUUGAGUAUUAAGUUUCAACAUGAAUUUUGGAGAGACACAUUCAAACCAUAGCUUCAUUUAGUUUAUUUAGUCUUUUAAAUCACUAACAUAAUGGUAAACUACUAUAUGCUAGUGAUUUUUAAACUUGUUUCCCAAACUAUAAAAAUUAUGUUGCCAUUACUUAAGAUUUAUGAAGCUCCUAACUGAUCGUGUGCCUCUAGAAUAAUCAGUUUACAGAUAUUUGGAUUAAUGAACACAUAUCCUACAAUUUGAUCUUUUUUGUUUCAUUUUUAUCAUUUACUGCACUCUUUUUGUCUUUUUUUCAGGGUAUGGGUAUGUGUAUUUGGUAGUUUUCUUAGUCAUAAUACAAAUACUUGCCACAAUGGGUAUGAACUGUAAAGUGAGAUCUGUGACUACCUUAUUAAUAGCUUGUGUAUUUCAUCAAAUAAUGUUGUAGAAAUUGAAUUGAUUUGAAAGCCAGAGAAUUUCUGAUUCAAGUCUUAGUUCUACCCCUUCCAAGCUGCAUGAUUUGAAUAAGUGACUUAUUUCUGAGCUUGCUUCUUUAUGUAAAAAACACAGACCGAAAUAUGUGUACUACAAAGUGUUAUGGAGAGUGAAAAAUUAUGAUAGGUACUAUGAUUAUUAUAGAAGCAGACAAGGAUGAAGUGCUCAAUAAGUAGUUAUGAAAAUGGCGAACAUCUGGAAAUGGUACAACACUCUUUCAAUAGAACAUGUGUUGUGGUUUUUGGUUCACUGAAUCUGGUCACGACACUGAUAAAUCUUGCUUCAGCAGCCCUCUAGAGAUCUGGAAUAGCACACCAUUAACAGAAUAAGUGAAGAGUCAUUAUGUUGGCAGGGUCUUUACACACAUAUGAUACCACUUCACAGGACUUUAUAUUCCACCUGCUUCUUUCACAUCCACUGUAAUAUGCAGAGACAUGGUGUGAUUCAUAGGGGAGCACCACAGUUCUGGUUAAGACAAUCAUUUAAUAACAAACAACUUGAUAAUCCCUUUCUCACCUCUAGAACCCCAUAUGAAUUAUUAUGGAAUUGAAAAAAAUGGAGAAAAUUUUGAAGACCCAAAAACGUAGUCCUCAAAAAAGCAGCUCCAUGAAAUAUUGGCAGAACCCAACUGACAAGGCUUCAUUUUACAGGGAAAGGAUAGCAAAAAAUAAAAAAGCUUGAAAGCAUAAUUCAUCACUUAGAAGCACUUUGAAAGCUAGAGAUUUGUACUAUUUGAGAGUACAUCUUCAUCUAUGAAGUCCCUAAUUUUAAGGAGUUACUAUUCCAAACAAAAAGCUAUCAUCUUUUGAGGUAAUUGUGAUUUCCUUGCCAUGUGAGCACCGUUGCCAGGAAGAUAUCCAGACACAGUCAUAGCACAACUCAGUUCAGGAUCUACAUCACACAGAAGGAUGUCAGCCAACACCCAGCCCAGAUACAGUGGUAUCUUCCAAUAGAAGAAAAUUAAAUCUUAUAAUCCCAAGAGAUGGUAUUAUAAACAACUCAAAAGAUUAUGUUCAGGCUAUCGAACACCCUUAAGUUGUUAUACUCUAAGCUGUGUAUAUAAAUGUGCACCUGUCAAAUACUUUAAUAUUUGGGAAUAACUUAUGAUAAGAAGUGAAAUAGUAUUGACCUCAAGCAUAUCUCCGAGGGUCCUAGCUGAACGAAUCCCAUAAACCAUUAAUCUUGGAAAACCAAGGGUCUUUCUCCUUAUAUUUCUGUACUGACUUUUCCUCUUGGCCUGGGACAUUAAUCUAAAUACAGUAAGAAGUUUUGAGAAUUGCAUGGAAUUUAUAUUAGGCUACAAGAGGAAGUCUAGGGCAAUUCUUAUCACCUAAGCCCAACCAAUAGGCUGCCCUCGGCGCCUCCUGGGGACAAGCAAAGAACAAAUCACUGUAUUCUUUGAAGGGAAUUGCUCCUUGGAUUUACAAAAAAGUAAAACCUCAAGGGCACAUGCAUUCCCCCUGGAAAGAAAAUGUUGUUUAUCAUUCUCCCAAGUGGUUUCUACAUCAGUUGAGAGAUGUACAAGUUGAUAGCAUCUCCAAUAUGGUGUCCCAACUGACUGGUAGGUCUCAGGGUUCCCAAUUCAGUUCAAAUAAUUGAGGCUAGGUUUUGUUUUUGGAGGGACUUCCUGACAGCAGCUGGUUUAGUCUGUGCCGUUUCAUCACACCACCAGUUGGGUGACAUUUGUUUGCUCAUAUAAUUACUGAGUUUAAAGAUGGCAAAGAAACAUCCAGAAGUGAUCUGCAUGACAGAUAAAGAAACUGAAGUCAUUUCUGCUGUUUCUGAUAGCCUUCUCAGUAAAGUUAAGGAAAACAGUAAUCAAAUCAUGAUCAGAGCAAUCUGCUGGGGGACAGCAGACACAGCAAUCAGGUAUAUUUAAGAUACUUGCUACAAUUUGAAAGUGUGUCACCAGGGCAUUUUCCUUGGGGAGGAAAGCUUCAGGGGUAGCUCUGAAAGACAAAAUAUCAUCAAUGCCAGCAAAAACUUGGCAUCAUGGGUGUGGGGGAGGGGAGGUUGAGCCUCUUAGGAUCACUGGAAAUAUAAAGGAGGGAAGGACUUUGAAGAUCUUUUGUCUUUCAGAAGUACCCCUGAAGCUUUCUUCCUCCAACACCAAAAAUAAAUCAGUGUGUCGUAUUCUAAUAAUUUGUAUUAAUUUUACAAUCCCCUUCUACUUCCACCUUUUGUCCAGAGUGGUAACUAGGAAUGAAAACAGGGAUAAAAGGACAAAUUGUUAGAAGAUCCUAAGUAUAAAUAUGUCAUCAAUUAAAAAUAUGUGCCAUUAUUUAGUGACAUUGGAAAAUGUUAAGAAUGUAAAAUUAAUGGAAAAGAUCAAAAACAAUUUAAUCCUAGUUUAGAAAAAAAUUCAAAGUCAUAAGCAAAAGACUUGAAAAUGUA